CUAAUCCUGUAAUUACUCAGUAUAGUCCCAGGCUCGCGCCCACCUGCCUCCCCGGGUCGGCUGGACCUGCAGAACCACAGCCGGUUCCACAGGAUACAGGAAAAAAGCUUCCCUCUCAUUUCCCAAAGACGACAUCAUUCUACAAUAUGGAAAUGCUUUCCUAAACCAGGCAGUUCCUCAUGGAGAUUCUGAAGCGCGCCUGGUCCUAGCAGCAGGAUAAGGGGCUCAGAGGCGAGGAGCCGUCCACAGCCUGACAGGUGCAGAGCCGGCACCUGAGGCCCC